rnacentral:rRNA from 1 species
GAUGAACGCUGGCGGCGUGCCUAAUACAUGCAAGUCGAGCGAACAGACGAUGAGCUUGCUCCUCUGACGUUAGCGGCGGACGGGUGAGUAACACGUGUAUAACCUACCUAUAAGACUGGGAUAACUUCGGGAAACCGGAGCUAAUACCGGAUAAUAUAUUGAACCGCAUGGUUCAAUGGUGAAAGACGGUUUUGCUGUCUCUUCUAGCUGGAUCCGCGCCGCAUUAGCUAGUUGGUAAGGUCACGGCUUACCAAGGCGACGAUGCGUAGCCGAACUGAGAGAGUGAUCGGCCACACUGGAACUGAGCCACGGUCCAGACUCCUACGGGAGGCAGCAGUAGGGAAUCUUCCGCAAUGGGCGAAAGCCUGACGGAGCAACGCCGAGUGAGUGAUGAAGGUCUUCGGAUCGUAAAACUCUGUUAUUAGGGAAGAACAAAUGUGUAAGUAACUAUGCCCGUCUUGACGGUACCUAAUCAGAAAGCCACGGCUAACUACGUG